rnacentral:lncRNA from 1 species
UGAUCAUGGCUCACUGCAGCCUCUAACUCCUGGGAUCCUCCCACCUCAGCCUCCCAGCUUAGAUUUUUGGAAUGUUUGAAGACAAACAUUGCCGUGGAGAUCACCUGGUAGCUUUCUGAGCAGGAGGCUGUGGACUGAGGGGAGCCAUCCACUCUGCCGAGAGCUUGAGAAAAUGAAGACUGAAAACAGAGCACUGGAGGUCGUUCAUACGCAAAAAUGCUUUCCCCUCGGAAUUGUCUCCAGCUCCUUCACCUCUUGGUUGUAGGUACAGACAGCAGAGACAAGAAGAGCCUUGAAGAGGCAGCCACACAUUGUGAUGAACAUCAAAUGGAUCCACGGCUCUGCGGAGGACCCAAGACAACUUGCUUGAAUUGUUAAGACCUUGUAAGAAUGUGAACGACUCCUCAUGGCCGAGUUGCAGGCACAGCAGGCUGGGGCCGGGUGGAAACCGAGGGCCAGCAGGGCCGGAACAGCGCAUCUCCGCGGACGGCUCCCCAUAGGCCCGGCCAGCGCGGAGCCAGGAGGGUGGCGUCCAGGGGCAGUGGACGCGCACGACAGGAGGAAGCCUGGGCUCUCCUCUCUGACCUCACGCCUGCCCUCCCCGCAGAUGGGAAUGUCCUUGUCCCGCAUGAGCGGCGGAGCCGGAGGGGACCCCGGCCUCUGACUCCUGCCCGCAGCCCCCUUUCAGCUGCCAGGGUUUCUCUGCCUUAGCUGCACAUGAGAACCCCCUGGGGCCUUUGAAAAACUACGAAUGCCCUGGCACCAACCCAACCCCGUUACAUCAGCAUCUCUGAGGGAGGGGCCUGAGUGCGAACGUACAUUGUGUAAAGUUCCCAGGUGACCUAGCGCGCAGCCAGCACUGCAGACUCCGGGGCCGCCCCAGCCGCCGCCCCGCCGCGGCCCCCCACCCCACGGGCUGCCCUCUGGUUCGGUGCCUCUGCCUGAUUCUGAAGGGCUGCAUCCUCCCUUCUCCUCACCACCUAUCGCGAGCGGUGACUGUCUCUGGAGGUGUCAUUUGGGGGGCUGUAGUGGGUUGAGUGGUGGCUCUCCAGAAGACACGUCCAUGUCCGGGAACCUAAUUUGUAAAGAGGGUUUUUGAGGAUUAAAUCAAGUAAAGGUUUUUGAGAGGAGAUCAUCCUGGAGUUAGGC